CUAAGCACGAAACUUGCCCCGAGAUGAGUUCUCCCUGACUCCUUGAGAGUCCUGAAGGAACGUUGAAGACGACGACGUUGAUAGGCCGGGUGUGUAAGCGCAGCGAUGCGUUGAGCUAACCGGUACUAAUGAACCGUGAGGCUUAACCUUACAACGCCGAAGGUGUUU
rnacentral:rRNA from 2 species